UGAGGAGCGCGCCAACGAAAAUCAGUUGGACAGAGUUGGCCUUCGGGAUAACUCAGCUCCUUCCUUUGCUACUUGUGUGCCUGCCUUUUUUGGAUGGUUUAUUGGUUACUGACCAUUUCUCCUCAACUUUCCUCCUCUUUCAAAGGUGACGGGAUUGGUGCUGUUCUCUUUCUGGAGAAAAAGACAUCCUUGGUCAUCUAAAGCAUUGCACUCUCUGCCUGAGAGAGGCAAUGGCCACAGCAGGGAACGACUCCUUCAUUGCCGAGGGAAUGACUCCACCACAAAGGAUCCUCUUUCCCCCCGAGAAGAUUUGCAUGGUCUGGCAGCAAAGACAGAGUGCUGGAGCAGGACUCCGCAAUGUGGGCAACACAUGCUUCCUUAAUGCUGUCCUGCAAUGCCUGACAUACACCCCGCCGCUGGCCAACUAUCUGCUCUCCCGGGAGCACAGCCAGGCCUGUCGCCAACAAGGCUUCUG